rnacentral:ncRNA from 1 species
UUAAACAUGAUGAUUAGGAGUAGUAAGGAUUUUAAUGUUGUUUAGAGAGCUGCAGAAAGGGUGAGAUGCAGUCAGCAUGAAACCUGAACUCACCUUUGAGUGGACAGAUUGAAAGAAGUCUGUACGGUUAACCACCGUAAUCAGGUUCUUUAGGUUUGCGCGAAUUUUUGCGAACGAAGAAGAGUGGUACCACGUUAGGCACAACCUAUCGUCUCUUUA